CUUUGUCAUUAAUGCCGAAAUGUUACUUGCAAAGAGAUUUUCUUCCACAAAAGAAUUGCGCAGAUUAACUAUUUAUGAUUUAGUCGUCAGAGUUUGUCAAGAUGGCGUGAUAUGUUCAUGUUCAUAUAGAUGGAUGUUGGAUUUAUUGGUGUACUUUAAAAAUUAACGGAUAUUUUGAAGGUAUAAUGAUGGACGACUCUGAAAUAAAGGAGCUUAUUAUUCUAACUGGGAAAUAUGCCACAAUUUAAAGCUGGGACAGAAUGAUAUAAUAUAUAGCUUCAGAACAAUAUUAAGAAAGGAGUUAUUAACCAACUGCGGGACCUUCCAGAACUUCAUACAUUGAAUUGCUGAUAUACAAAGUGCUAUUAACAAAAGAAGGAACAUUUGAGGAAGUUGGAUUUGCCUCUCCAUCCUUUUAUUGUUGUGUAGAAGCCAG
rnacentral:lncRNA from 1 species